rnacentral:rRNA from 1 species
UACGGGGGGGGCAAGCGUUGUUCGGAAUUACUGGGCGUAAAGAGCUCGUAGGCGGCUUGUCACGUCGGAUGUGAAAGCCCGAGGCUUAACCUCGGGUCUGCAUUCGAUACGGGCUAGCUAGAGUGUGGUAGGGGAGAUCGGAAUUCCUGGUGUAGCGGUGAAAUGCGCAGAUAUCAGGAGGAACACCGGUGGCGAAGGCGGCUCACUGGCUCGAUACUGACGCUGAGGUGCGAAAGCGUGGGGAGCAAACAGG